GCCGGGUGUGGUGGCAUGCACCUGUAAUCCCAGAUACUCGGGAGGCUGAGGCAGGAGAAUCACUUGAACCUGGGAGUUGAAGGUUGCAGUGAGCUGAGACUGUGCCACUGUACCUCCAGCCUGGGUGACAGAGCGAGACUCUGUCUCCA
rnacentral:SRP_RNA from 1 species